rnacentral:rRNA from 1 species
UAUAUACUGUCUCAUAUAUAUAUUUAUGAAUUUAAAAUUUUAAUAAAAAUGUUAAAAUUUAUUUAUGGGACGAUAAMACCCUAUAGAAUUUUAUAUUAAUUUAAUUAUUUAAUUAAUAAAUAAUUUAAAUUAAUAUUUAAUUGGGAGGAUUAUUAAAUUUAAAAAACUUUAAUUUAUGAAAACUUUAAUUAAAGAAAAUUUUAUGAUCUUGAAUUUUAAAUUAUUAGAAUAAAUUACCUUAGGGAUAACAGCGUAAUAUUUUUUUAUAGAUCUUAUAGAAAAAAAUGAUUGCGACCUCGAUGUUGAAUUAAGA